rnacentral:rRNA from 1 species
UACGGGGGGGGCAAGCGUUGUUCGGAAUUACUGGGCGUAAAGGGCGCGUAGGCGGCCCGCUAAGUCGAACGUGAAAUCCCCGGGCUCAACCCGGGAACUGCGUCCGAUACUGGUGGGCUUGAAUCCGGGAGAGGGAUGCGGAAUUCCAGGUGUAGCGGUGAAAUGCGUAGAUAUCUGGAGGAACACCGGUGGCGAAGGCGGCAUCCUGGACCGGCAUUGACGCUGAGGCGCGAAAGCCAGGGGAGCAAACGGG